rnacentral:lncRNA from 1 species
GCACCAGUGAGUGACAUUACUGUUAGUGAUGACAGCUCUGAAUGACUAGGCUUGCAGGAAUUCUGGUGCAGGUUGCCUUUGUCUGAGAUUUUUUGCUUUUGCCCAGUAUGACUUUCUGCAUCUAAAGAUCAUUAAGGUCAUUUGACCUUCGGUGGUUUUUGACAUAUGCACCUGUAUAUCUGGAUAUUUGCACACACACCCCAUUUCCCUUGGUAGUAGCCUAGUUUUUUUGUCAUUCUGGAGGACUGUGUGGGUGACAACUCAGUGUACCUCCCUGUCCCCUGUUCCCGAGUUUCCUCUUGUGGGGAAGCACCUUGUGUGCUGGCAGCUACAGGCGGAAGCUUGAGAGUUGUGCUGACUCCUUUCCUCGGCAGACCUCCCGUACUAACAGCAGGUGCUGGCCACUCUUCUUGUCCCUGGGGCUCAGAGGAGUUAGUUCCAGGUCUGGGUAGAGCUGGGCUGUGCUACUCUGGCAGAUGGCUCCCCCCAUCCUGUCACCUUGGAAACUCCAAUGUUGUCUUACGGUUGGUUGUUUACUCUUCAUUACAAAAAAAAAAAAAAAAA